rnacentral:rRNA from 1 species
GACGAACGCUGGCGGCGUGCUUAACACAUGCAAGUCGAACGGAAAGGCCCUGCUUUUGUGGGGUGCUCGAGUGGCGAACGGGUGAGUAACACGUGAGUAACCUGCCCUUGACUUUGGGAUAACUUCAGGAAACUGGGGCUAAUACCGGAUAGGAGCUCCUGCUGCGUGGUGGGGGUUGGAAAGUUUCGGCGGUUGGGGAUGGACUCGCGGCUUAUCAGCUUGUUGGUGGGGUAGUGGCUUACCAAGGCUUUGACGGGUAGCCGGCCUGAGAGGGUGACCGGCCACAUUGGGACUGAGAUACGGCCCAGACUCCUACGGGAGGCAGCAGUGGGGAAUAUUGCACAAUGGGCGGAAGCCUGAUGCAGCAACGCCGCGUGCGGGAUGACGGCCUUCGGGUUGUAAACCGCUUUCGCCUGUGACGACGCGUGAGUGACGGUAAUGGGUAAAGAAGCACCGGCUAACUACGUG